GCAUAUCAAUAAGCGGAGGAAAAGAAAAUAACCAUGAUUGCCCUAGUAACGGCGAGUGAAGAGGCAAAAGCUCAAGUUUGGAAGCUCAAUGGUUUAACCAUUGCGCAUUGUAAACUGAAAACAGGAUCAAUCAGGUACACCGGGUGAUAAGUUCCUUGGAAUAGGACAUCAUGGAGGGUGAGAAUCCCGUCUUUGACCCGAGUCUAGUAUCUUUUGUAUUGGCCUGUUCAAGAGUCAGGUUGUUUGGGAAUGCAGCCUAAAGCUGGAGGUAAAUCCCUCCUGAAGCUAAAUAAUGGCGAGAGACCGAUAGCGAACAAGUACCGUGAGGGAAAGAUGAAAAGAACUCUGAAGAGAGAGUUAAACAGUACGUGAAAUUGCUUAAAGGGAAGCAUAUAAAGCUAGGAUGCGAUUGUUUUCUUCAGGUUGAGCUUUGGCUUGACUGUUCAGAAGGAUAAUCCAAGACAACAAGAAUUGGAGGAGGAGAAUAAGCCAUUGGGGAAGGUAAUCCUUCGGGAUGUUUAUAGACCUGAUGGUUCGCGCUCUUCUUUCGAUUGAGGUACGCUUUUUUUAAAGGUUGUUGUCUGAAUGGCUUUAUAUGGCCCGUCUUGAAACACGGACCAAGGAGUCCACCUAAUGUGCGAGUAUUUGGGAGGUAAACCCAUAUGCGCAAUGAAAGUGAUUUUACCUAUGAGGGGGUCUCUCGGGGCCUCUGCAAUAGGAUCGGGCAGGGACGUUUUAUACUGAACUGACUCAGAUAAAGCACAUUGGAUGGGACCCGAAAGAUGGUGAACUAUGCUUGGAUAGGGUGAAGCCAAAGGAAACUUUGGUGGAGGCUCGUAGCGAUUCUGACGUGCAAAUCGAUCGUCGAAUCUGAGCAUAGGGGCGAAAGACUAAUCGAACCAUCUAGUAGCUGGUUCCUGCGA
rnacentral:rRNA from 2 species